rnacentral:rRNA from 1 species
GAUGAACGCUGGCGGCGUGCCUAAUACAUGCAAGUCGAGCGAACAGAUGCGGACCUUGCUCCUCUGACGUUAGCGGCGGACGGGUGAGUAACACGUGGAUAACCUACCUCUAAUCCUGGGAUACCUUCGGGAAACCGGAGCUAAUACCGGAUAAUAUAUUGAACCGCAUGGUUCAAUAGUGAAAGACGGUUUUGCUGUGACUUAUAGAUGGAUCCGCGCCGCAUUAGCUAGUUGGUAAGGUAACGGCUUACCAAGGCAACGACGCGUAGCCGACCUGAGAGGGGGAUCGGCGACCUGAGAGCGGAGACACGCACCAGGCGCCUACGGGAGGCAGCAGUAGGGAACCUGCCGCAGUAGUCGAAAGCCUGACGGAGCAACGCCACGUGAGUGAUAAAGGUGUUCGGUUCGUAAAGCUCUGUUAUGAGUGAAGAACAAAUGUGUAAGUAACUAUACACUUCUUGACGGUACCUAAUCAGAAAGCCACGGCUAACUACGUG